CCUACGGGAGGCAGCAGUAGGGAAUCUUCCACAAUGGGCGAAAGCCUGAUGGAGCAACGCCGCGUGGGUGAAGAAGGUCUUCGGAUCGUAAAACCCUGUUGUUAGAGAAGAAAGUGCGUGAGAGUAACUGUUCACGUUUCGACGGUAUCUAACCAGAAAGCCACGGCUAAAUACGUGCCAGCAGCCGCGGUAAUACGUAGGUGGCAAGCGUUAUCCGGAUUUAUGGGGCGUAAAGGGAACGCAGGCGGUCUUUUAAGUCUGAUGUGAAAGCCUUCGGCUUAACCGGAGUAGUGCAUUGGAAACUGGGAGACUUGAGUGCAGAAGAGGAGAGUGGAACUCCAUGUGUAGCGGUGAAAUGCGUAGAUAUAUGGAAGAACACCAGUGGCGAAAGCGGCUCUCUGGUCUGUAACUGACGCUGAGGUUCGAAAGCGUGGGUAGCAAACAGGAUUAGAUACCCCUGUAGUC
rnacentral:rRNA from 1 species